AUUUUCAUUCUGGAAAUAUCAUUCAAACUUCAAAAAACCUAAUACCGAACAGGUGAUCGAGUUGAAUGAUUGCUGAGUGAAGACUUCAUAUCGAAAUCGAAGGUGGUGGCAUCUUAUCACAGUUGAUACAGAAGUACCAGAUAUAGAAAACAUCACCGCUACUUUCAUCAGAUAUUGUACAUAAAAAGUAAAAGCAGGAAAACCCGGCGCAAAUUAUGAUUAUCAUAAUAUCUACAUAUAAUGAAAUUGUUAUUAUGAAUGAAAUACAUCUUUGAAAAUAUUAUUUAGAAACACUUUGUGAUAUCGUAUAACUUGAAUCUAAUAUUUCGAAAAUUGUUAAGUACUCAUAACUGAAAUGCUGCAAUAUAUAUUCCAUUAUAAAACUCAGA
rnacentral:lncRNA from 1 species